AUUAAUCAAAUAGCAAAUAAUUAAAUUUUUUAACAUAUCCAAAUAAUCAGAUUAAUAGUUCAUAAAUUAUAAAAUUCUUUAAGAACAUACACAUAAAAGAUCUUGAAACCUGAAGAGAGUUAUAGUCAAAGCAGAUGUCGCCGAUUGAGGAGAGAAGGGUUGUCUCUAGCGUCAGUGAAGUGCGGGGAGAGAAGCGUAAAUCGAAAAGAGUAGAUUUCACCCGACUGGGGAGAGAGAAGGAGAUAUCGCCGACGCCGACCGAGCAGAGGGAAGAGUUGUCUUCAACUGGAAAGUCGGAGAUGUCGCCGCUGGAGAGAGAGAAGGAGAUAUUGCUGACGGGGGAGAGAGAAGAUUUAUCGUCGACUGGGGAGAGAAAGGAGACGUCGCCGGUGACGACUGGGCUGCCGGCAGUCGUCAGUGAAGUGGGGGAGAGGCGUGACUGAGAACUAUGGGAAGGGAAGCGAGGGAGAGAGAGAGACGUAGACGAAGAGAGGAAAGAGUAAAAUGAAAAAAU
rnacentral:lncRNA from 1 species